UACGGAGGAUGCAAGCGUUAUCCGGAUUUAUUUGGUUUAAAGGGUGCGCAGGUUGUUUGAUAAGUCAGUGGUGAAAGUCUGUCGCUUAACGGUAGGAUUGCCAUUGAUACUGUUGGACUUGAAUAUGGAUGAGGUAGGCGGAAUGUGUAGUGUAGCGGUGAAAUGCAUAGAUAUUACACAGAACACCGAUUGCGAAGGCAGCUUACUAAUCCAUCAUUGUCGCUGAGGCACGAAAGCGUGGGGAUCAAACAGGA
rnacentral:rRNA from 1 species